UUUAAAAUAUAAAUAAAUAAAAACAAUAUUCUCUGGGGAGAAAAUUUUUCUUUAAAAAAUUAAAAUCAAGAGCCUCAAACGUAGGACAAGAUAUACUUUAAUUGCUUAAACCUUACUUGCUUAUUUAGUAAAUGGUAAACUUUAGUUACUUAUAUGCAUGCCAUGAAAAAAUACAUUAUUAAAGAAAAAUAAAAGUUUAAAUCUGUAAAAUAAUAAUAACCUAGUUCCAGAACUAAGAUUUAUUUAAAAUCAAUUUAACAGAAUGCACGGAUAAAAAACAGAGAUUGAAGUUUGAAGAAAAUAUUUAAUAAUUAAUUGAGAUAGAUAAAAAAUUAAAUAUAUUGUGUGACAAGAAAAAGAUGCUAUUGAAAUAAAACAAUGAAAAAAUAGUUAAACAAAACCAAUAAGCUAAAUAUAAAUUUUAUCUUUUGUUCUAAUACUUUUAUUCAAUUUCAAAAUUUAAAUGAGUAUAAAUACAGAAUGAUAAAGCAUUACUUAAUAUGGUAAGACAAUUUAUACUACUAAUUGGCAAAUGAAAAUGAAAUGUAUCUGAUUGAAUUAUAAAUGACUAAGUAAAUUAUCACCUUAUAUGGAAAAAAAGACAUUUUGCUGUUAAUAUUUUUACAAUUCAUAAGCUUGUUAUGGUCAAUAAUGAAAUAAUUGAAGUGGUGGAUAAUAAAAUAAAUACAGAUAUAGUAAACGUGACUUUACACGAAAUUUUUCCAAGUCAAUAAAUAAAAUAAAAUCAGCAUAUAAACAGAUGUAGAAAAAUGAUUAGUUUAAAAUUAAUGAUAAUUGACAGCAUAAAUUAGCCACCACCUUUUUCUCCUCAUGGCAGAGAAGGAAUUUUGUAAGAGUCUCCCACAAAUUUAAUGGACGAGUAAUUUCUAUCGCUGCUAAGUUCUUAAUGUUUUCUUUAAAAAUUAGAAGAGGGUUCUACUCUAGCUCGCUAGUCUUUGAAAAUUCUAAAGUAGUUCUUUUCCAGCUAUCUUCUCACUCUUUUCUCUAAGUUCUAUUUAAUACUCCAAUUUUUAUGCCCAUAUAUAUAUAUAUAUAUUUCAUAGUUUAUUUUAACUACAUUAAAGGCUAUGCCCCCUCCUUUUAUUCAUUGCUCACCAAUCCUUAUAGUUUUACAAUUUAAUUUCUGGAAAAAAAAUUUUGAAAUUUAAACAAAGACACGUUUAAAUAAAACAUGAGAAAAUAAAUUUUCAUAAAUAUGACGACUGGCCAACAGUGAAACUGUAUGAAAGGUCACAGCAACCUCCCAUCCUGCAGUAGCAAAACAUAAGAAUUUUUCUAAAGCAUUUUCAAAUUUUCUUUGACCAUAGUUGAACCAAAAAUGGGAUAAUACACCUUCCAAUUAAACUUAUCAUUUUCUUCCAGGAUCUCGUUUCGCAGUCAUAUCUUGGAGAAUGUGACAUUACAGUUUAAAAGAAAUUAACAACAGCUGAAAUUAAAAUUUAGUCCUCCUUCUUUGUUAAAAUUUGAAUACGAGCUUCCCUUAAGACAUGCUGUGAUUCUUAUUUUAAAAGAAAUUGCAAAUUAAAUCAAACUGCUGCUAAGAGAUACAUUUCCUCGUAUUUACAUUCAAAAUACAGAUGGUUUAAAUUCUGUUGAAUUUCUAUAUUUUUGUCUUGAAGAGACUAUCACUUCAUAUGUGUGUGAGGAAAUUGAAUCUGGAGUAAAAAGAUGUUUUAUUGUUAUUGGAAGAAAUGAAAAGCAGUGGAAAGCUUACAUGGGGCACACUGAUUUUUCUAAAUUAGAAGAAACUGGAAAUGAUAGUGUUAAAAUACAUCAGAAGUAUGAAAUUCAAGGAGUAGCAUUGAUCUCAACAUAUAAUAUGUUCCUAGCUCUCCUACUUUUGCCAAUAAGUCUGCCUCAUCAGGAUUAUCAGUCUGUUCCCUGCCAACAUCUCCUGUGGCUACUGCAGCUGACAAUACUGUUCGUCCAGUUACCGUUUUUGUACCUCGUCAAAGGUUUUUUCUGAUGAUGGUUAAAGAUAAAAAUGUUCAAGGAGAACAAGGAGAUCAGAAGUAGAAACAGCCAUGAGAGAAGAAAAAUGUACAAUUAAAGAAAGGAGUAUUGUCGAUGGAGGAUUUUCGCCCCAAGCAUUUACACUCCCCGGAACUCUGCUGUCUCAAAUCAACUGAGAAAUUCUUAGCAUCCUCUAUAUAGAUCUGAUAUAGUUCCAUGCAAAAAUCAAUUGUUUGGUCACCUGAAGAAAUGCUACCAUGUUUCUUAUACAGUGAAAAAAAGCCUUGCUUAGGAAUUUGCAGUGAGAUUUUAGAAAGGGUAUUGAAUAAUUUAAUGCAAUGUACGAAUAUUUGCUUAGACUACUUAAGGUUUCUUUUCUGAAUGACACUGUGUUGCAAUUUACUGCUGAUAUCAAUACAAAAACUAACAUCUCAUGUACUAAUUCAUUUUUAUCUCACUCCGUUUUUUGUUCUUUCAAAAUUUUGCUUUAUUUCUUACUUUCCUUUUGAGCCUUAAAAUAAAAUUUUAUGAACUUGA
rnacentral:lncRNA from 1 species